rnacentral:tRNA from 1 species
GCCCUGGUGGUACAAUGGUUAAAACGCUCAGCUGCUAACUGAAAAGUUGAAGGUUUGAACCUACCAGGCGCU